rnacentral:rRNA from 1 species
CCCUUAGAUGUUCUGGGCUGCACGCGCGCUACACUGAAGCUAUCAACACGUUUUCCCUCCCUGAGAAGGGCGGGUAACCUUUUGAAUCAGCUUCGUGGUAGGGAUCGGGGCUUGCAAUUGUUCCCCGUGAACCAGGAAUUCCUAGUAGACGCGAGUCAUAAGCUCGCAUCGAUUAAGUCCCUGCCCUUUGUACACACCGCCCGUCGCUACUACCGAUUGAACGUUUUAGUGAGGCAUUUGGACCGACGCAUCGCAGUUUAACCGCUGGUUUGUGUUGGAAAGACUUCCAAACUUGAGCGUUUAGAGGAAGUAAAAGUCGUAACA